rnacentral:lncRNA from 1 species
AUGUCUUUUAUUUAUUUUACAUGAGAUCGUAGUUUUUAAAUAGCCAAUGACUACAUAAAGAUGGAUCAUGAUCUAAGAAUACGACUCAUGCUCAACGAGAUAGGCUAUGCUUAAAAAUCGAUCAUAGAUUUAUUGACUUAUCUAAAUAUUUUUGACUAACCUAUAAUUUUAAAGGAUGGUUCAUGCUCUCUAAGAUAAGUUAUAUCUUUAUUGAUUAAAUACCAAUCCAAGGCA